rnacentral:tRNA from 1 species
UUGUAGCUCAGUGGUGGAGUGCUUGCCUAGCAUGUAUGAGGCUCUGGGUUUGAUUCUCAGCAA